rnacentral:rRNA from 1 species
GACGUAGGGCGCGAGCGUUGUCCGGAUUUAUUGGGCGUAAAGAGCUCGUAGGCGGCUUGUUGCGUCGACCGUGAAAACCCGGGGCUCAACUUCGGGCUUGCGGUCGAUACGGGCGGGCUAGAGUCGGUAGGGGAGACUGGAAUUCCGUGGUGUAGCGGUGAAAUGCGCAGAUAUCAGGAGGAACACCGGUGGCGAAGGCGGGUCUCUGGACAGUUCCUGACGCUGAGGCACGAAGGUCAGGGGAGCAAACGGG